rnacentral:rRNA from 1 species
UAAUACGGAGGAUCCGAGCGUUAUCCGGAUUUAUUGGGUUUAAAGGGUGCGUAGGCGGGAGAUUAAGUCAGCGGUGAAAGUUUGCAGCUUAACUGUAAAAUUGCCGUUGAAACUGAUUUUCUUGAGUGUAAAUAAGGUAGGCGGAAUGUGUUGUGUAGCGGUGAAAUGCAUAGAUAUAACACAGAACCCCGAUUGCGAAGGCAGCUUACCGGGCUACAACUGACGCUGAGGCACGAAAGCGUGGGGAUCAAACAGGAUUAGAUACCCUGGUAGUCCACGCAGUAAACGAUGAAUACUAACUGUUUGCGAUAUACAGUAAGCGGUACAGCGAAAGCGUUAAGUAUUCCACCUGGGGAGUACGUUCGCAAGAAUGAAACUCAAAUGAAUUGACGG